CAGGUUUAUCAGGUCAAACCCAGAACACAUCCUCAGGGCAAGCAAUCUGAGGAAUCUCAGUAUGCAGGACCAGUUCAGCAAGAGGUUUAGGUUCAAAUCAGGAGUGAGGGCAAAGUCUGGCUCAUGGUGGAACCUUAGAAAAGUCCCCAGGCACCAUGUGAGGCCAUGUGCCAUGAAGCCCAAUUGCAGGACAGAAAAGGAUGCCCUUCUACCCACACAGUUGGCCAGACCCAACCCUGCCAAGAACACGCCUUCUGGUUCCAAGAUAACAAAAACAAGUCCUAGGUCACACCACCCACAGUGGUGAGAGCCCAAGGGCUGAAGUAGGCAAAGGCCAGGCUCCCAUAACUGAGCCCAUAGCCAUUUUCCCCACUGGGCAGAGUAAAAGCUAAAGAAGCCUUGGGGCGAAGGUCAGGAAGCUGUAGAGGGGUAUAGGAACAACAAAGACCCAAACAGCUCAUCUGUACUACAUAUGUACUAUUGCAUCUACUUUAAUAAAUGCCUACCAUAAAUGUUGCAAGCUGACUUCAUCAGCAAGUAUGGACUGAGCAGGGUAAGGAGGCUGGGAAUUGAGGUUCCAGCUCUACUAUAGGCUUUCUGAGUGGCUGGGACACCUCCAUUUCUCUCACUGGGCCUCAUCCGCAAAAUGAGACAUGGGGUGAGAUUAACACUACGCUCUUCCCUUAACAACCUCAGGCUCUCUGAUACUGUCCACUGCAACACAGAUCUCAAACACCGGUUUACCCCACACCCAAAUAUGGUGGUUACUUCUAGACUUUGACCAUUUUGCUUGCCUAGUUCUCAGCUCUCCGGUAAGAAAAGACAGCCAUGCCUGACUUCUGUUGUGAAAGGGAACACAGAGGGCAUCGUCAUGGGGAUUCCGAAAAUGGGUCCAGUUUUGGCCAGGGGGACCCCUGGAGCUUGCCCAUUGGACUUGGAGCUAAAAGCAUCUUAGCAACUAAGACAGCCGGUCUUUAUAGCCUGGAUGAAAUUUGUAUCUAUUUCCCAGAUGGACAAGAGCCUAGAAGAUCCCAGCCUUGCCACUGGGUAUGAGCACAGGACAGGGGGACGCUCAAUGCUAAGGCUGCCAGAGAAAAUACAGGACUUCCGGUUAAAUUUGAAUUUCAAAUAAACAAGUAAUUUUUAAAGUAUAA